rnacentral:lncRNA from 1 species
GAAAUAACGAUGUAAAUAUAAAGGUAGAGUUCCGCAAUUGUAUUCCAGUUGGGUUGUAAAUAAAUAGUAAAAGUCCAUAUUAAAUAUAUGAACUGCAUUUUGGAUGCAUAUGUAUAAAAUGUUAAUGGGCCUGAAUCCAUAAUUAUGAAUAGAAAGUGAGAUUUAAAUAAGUUAGGCUUACUACGGGCUUCGGGGGCCUUAAGCCCACCCAGGUCCUAGUGCCGGUCCGGUCCAUGGAAAUGGGUCGUGACACAAGUGAUGGAUAUAGAUGUCAUAAAG